rnacentral:rRNA from 1 species
ACUCAAAUGAAUUGACGGGGGCCCGCACAAGCGGUGGAGCAUGUGGUUCAAUUCGAAGCAACGCGCAGAACCUUACCAACCCUUGACAUGUCCAGUAUGGAUUUCAGAGAUGAGAUUCUUCAGUUCGGCUGGCUGGAACACAGGUGCUGCAUGGCUGUCGUCAGCUCGUGUCGUGAGAUGUUGGGUUAAGUCCCGCAACGAGCGCAACCCUCGUCUUUAGUUGCCAUCAUUCAGUUGGGCACUCUAGAGAGACUGCCGGUGAUAAGCCGGAGGAAGGUGGGGAUGACGUCAAGUCCUCAUGGCCCUUACGGGUUGGGCUACACACGUGCUACAAUGGCGGUGACAAUGGGCAGCGAACCCGCAAGGGGGAGCUAAUCUUUAAAAGCCGUCUCAGUUCGGAUUGUGCUCUGCAACUCGAGCACAUGAAGCUGGAAUCGCUAGUAAUCGUAGAUCAGAACGCUACGGUGAAUACGUUCCCGGGCCUUGCACACACCGCCCGU